AGUCGAGCGGAUGAAGAGAGCUUGCUCUCUGAUUCAGCGGCGGACGGGUGAGUAAUGCCUAGGAAUCUGCCUGGUAGUGGGGGACAACGUCUCGAAAGGGACGCUAAUACCGCAUACGUCCUACGGGAGAAAGCAGGGGACCUUCGGGCCUUGCGCUAUCAGAUGAGCCUAGGUCGGAUUAGCUAGUUGGUGAGGUAAUGGCUCACCAAGGCGACGAUCCGUAACUGGUCUGAGAGGAUGAUCAGUCACACUGGAACUGAGACACGGUCCAGACUCCUACGGGAGGCAGCAGUGGGGAAUAUUGGACAAUGGGCGAAAGCCUGAUCCAGCCAUGCCGCGUGUGUGAAGAAGGUCUUCGGAUUGUAAAGCACUUUAAGUUGGGAGGAAGGGCAUUAACCUAAUACGUUGAUGUUUUGACGUUACCGACAGAAUAAGCACCGGCUAACUCUGUGCCAGCAGCCGCGGUAAUACAGAGGGUGCAAGCGUUAAUCGGAAUUACUGGGCGUAAAGCGCGCGUAGGUGGUUUGUUAAGUUGAAUGUGAAAUCCCCGGGCUCUACCUGGGAACUGCAUCCAAAACUGGCAAGCUAGAGUAGGGCAGAGGGUGGUGGAAUUUCCUGUGUAGCGGUGAAAUGCGU
rnacentral:rRNA from 1 species